AACAGGAUUAGAUACCCUGGUAGUCCACGCUGUAAACGAUGUCGACUUGGAGGUUGUGCCCUUGAGGCGUGGCUUCCGGAGCUAACGCGUUAAGUCGACCGCCUGGGGAGUACGGCCGCAAGGUUAAAACUCAAAUGAAUUGACGGGGGCCCGCACAAGCGGUGGAGCAUGUGGUUUAAUUCGAUGCAACGCGAAGAACCUUACCUACUCUUGACAUCCAGAGAAUUUGCUAGAGAUAGCUUAGUGCCUUCGGGAACUCAGAGACAGGUGCUGCAUGGCUGUCGUCAGCUCGUGUUGUGAAAUGUUGGGUUAAGUCCCGCAACGAGCGCAACCCUUAUCCUUUGUUGCCAGCACGUAAUGGUGGGAACUCAAAGGAGACUGCCGGUGAUAAACCGGAGGAAGGUGGGGAUGACGUCAAGUCAUCAUGGCCCUUACGAGUAGGGCUACACACGUGCUACAAUGGCAUAUACAAAGAGAAGCGAACUCGCGAGAGCAAGCGGACCUCAUAAAGUAUGUCGUAGUCCGGAUUGGAGUCUGCAACUCGACUCCAUGAAGUCGGAAUCGCUAGUAAUCGUAGAUCAGAAUGCUACGGUGAAUACGUUCCCGGGCCUUGUACACACCGCCCGUCACACCAUGGGAGUGGGUUGCAAAAGAAGUAGGUAGCUUAACCUUCGGGAGGGCGCUUACCACUUUGUGAUUCAUGACUGGGGUGAAGUCGUAACAAGGUAACC
rnacentral:rRNA from 1 species